GAAGGAUCAUUACCAAACUUGCGAACCCGGCUAACGUCGUGGUACGCUUCAACCCUUUGUGAACCAAAAAACCUUUUCGCUUCGGUUAGCAGGGAGCGGUUGCGGGUAAAACCCAACCAAUUCCGUCAGCCUGCCGGCAGCACCAAAAUUUAAACCUGUCGUCAAAUAUUGUCUGAAUACCAUAUUUUCGAAUGAAAAUUAAAACUUUCAACAACGGAUCUCUUGGUUCUCGCAUCGAUGAAGAACGCAGCGAAACGCGAUAGUUAAUGUGAAUUGCAGAAUUCAGUGAAUCAUCGAGUCUUUGAACGCACAUUGCGCCUAUUGGUAUUCCAUUAGGCAUGUCUGUUUGAGCGUCAUUACAACCCCUCAGCGCAAGCUGGUUUUGAGCCGGUCGGUCGUAAAAAGCUGACCGGUUUUAAAGUUGUAAGCUCUGCUGGCUGCUACGCCCAACCAAAAACAUAGUAAACUUUUGCUUGUUUGAAGGUGAGGCUUGCAGGUUUAACCGGCCUGAACAAAACCUACUAUUUCUAAGGUUUGACCUCAGAUCAGACAAGGAUACCCGCUGAACUUAAGCAUAUCAAUAAGCGGAGGAAGAGAAACCAACAGGGAUUGUCUCAGUAACGGCGAGUGAAGCGGCAAAAGCUCAAUUUGAAAUCUGGAGCCUUCGGCUUCCGAGUUGUAAUUUGAGAGGAUGUUUCGGUCGCGGCUUGGGCCCAAGUUCCUUGGAACAGGACGUCAUGGAAGGUGAGAAUCCCGUACGUGGCUACCGGCUUGCUUCUAUGUGAAACUCUUCGAGAGUCAGGUUGUUUGGGAAUGCAGCUCGAAAUGGG
rnacentral:rRNA from 1 species